GGUAGCUAUAAUUCAAAGGUAGAAUGGCUGUAUGUGGCAUAGUAUAUCUGAGUUCAAUUCUCAGUAGUUACC
rnacentral:tRNA from 1 species